rnacentral:rRNA from 1 species
GACGAACGCUGGCGGCGUGCUUAACACAUGCAAGUCGAGCGGAGCGGCGAACGGGUGAGUAACGCGUGAGUAACUGCCCCCCUCUCUGGGAUCACCUUUGGAAACGGCUGCUCAUACCGGAUAGUGGGGGAUGAUUCGCGUCCUAUCGGCUUGUUGGUGGGGUAGUGGCCUACCAAGGCGACGACGGGUAGCCGGCCUGGGAGGGCGACCGGCCACAUUGGGCUGAGGUACGGCCCAAGCGCCUACGGGAGGCAGCAGUGGGGAAUAUUGCACAAUGGGGGAAACCCUGAUGCAGCAACGCGCGUGCGGGAUGACGGCCUUCUGGUUGUAAACCGCUUUCAGCGAUGACGCGGUAGUGGCAGAAGAAGCACCGGCUAACUACGUGCCAGCCGCCGCGGUAAUAC